rnacentral:rRNA from 1 species
AAGUCGAGGGGUAUAGUUCUUCGGAACUAGAGACCGGCGCACGGGUGCGUAACGCGUAUGCAAUCUACCUUUUACAGAGGGAUAGCCCAGAGAAAUUUGGAUUAAUACCUCAUAGUAUGUGAGAAUGGCAUCAUUUUCACAUUAAAGUCACAACGGUAAAAGAUGAGCAUGCGUCCCAUUAGCUAGUUGGUAAGGUAACGGCUUACCAAGGCUACGAUGGGUAGGGGUCCUGAGAGGGAGAUCCCCCACACUGGUACUGAGACACGGACCAGACUCCUACGGGAGGCAGCAGUGAGGAAUAUUGGACAAUGGGCGCAAGCCUGAUCCAGCCAUGCCGCGUGCAGGAUGACGGUCCUAUGGAUUGUAAACUGCUUUUGCACAGGAAGAAACAACGCUACGUGUAGCGUCUUGACGGUACUGUGAGAAUAAGGAUCGGCUAACUCCGUGCCAGCAGCCGCGGUAAUACGGAGGAUCCAAGCGUUAUCCGGAAUCAUUGGGUUUAAAGGGUCCGUAGGCGGUUUAGUAAGUCAGUGGUGAAAGCCCAUCGCUCAACGGUGGAACGGCCAUUGGUACUGCUAGACUUGAAUUAUUAGGAAGUAACUAGAAUAUGUAGUGUAGCGGUGAAAUGCUUAGAGAUUACAUGGAAUACCAAUUGCGAAGGCAGGUUACUACUAAUGGAUUGACGCUGAUGGACGAAAGC